rnacentral:rRNA from 1 species
GCUUAACACAUGCAAGUCGAACGGAAUCCCUCGGGAUUUAGUGGCGGACGGGUGAGUAACACGUAAGAACCUGCCUCUAGGACGGGGACAACAGUUGGAAACGACUGCUAAACCCGGAUGAGCCGAAAGGCAAAAGAUUUAUCGCCUAGAGAGGGGCUUGCGUCUGAUUAGCUAGUUGGUAAGGUAAAAGCUUACCAAGGCGACGAUCAGUAGCUGGUCUGAGAGGAUGAUCAGCCACACUGGGACUGAGACACGGCCCAGACUCCUACGGGAGGCAGCAGUGGGGAAUUUUCCGCAAUGGGCGAAAGCCAGACGGAGCAAGACCGCGUGGGGGAGGAAGGUUCUUGGAUUGUCAACCCCUUUUCUCAGGGAAGAACGCAAUGACGGUACCUGAGGAAAAAGCAUCGGCUAACUCCGUGCCAGCANCCGCGGUAAUACGNNGGAUGCAAGCGUUAUCCGGAAUGAUUGGGCGUAAAGAGUCCGUAGGUAGUCAAUCAAGUCUGCUGUUUAAAGAGCGAGGCUUAACUUCGUAAAGGCAGUGGAAACUGAUAGACUAGAGUGUAGUAGGGGCAGAGGGAAUUCCUGGUGUAGCGGUGAAAUGCGUAGAGAUCAGGAAGAACACCGGUGGCGAAGGCGCUCUGCUGGGCUAUAACUGACACUGAGGGACGAAAGCUAGGGGAGCGAAUGGGAUUAGAUACCCCAGUAGUCCUAGCGGUAAACGAUGGAAACUAGGUGUGGCCCUGUAUCGACCCGAGCCGUGCCGAAGC